GGAAGUAAAAGUCGUAACAAG
rnacentral:ncRNA from 4 species